rnacentral:lncRNA from 1 species
CCCGGUUUCUCCUUCGGAAAGAUGUCGGACACGGCAGUAGCUGACACUCGGCGCCUUAACUCGAAGCCGCAGGACCUGACCGACGCUUACGGGCCGCCAAGUAACUUCCUGGAGAUCGACAUCUUUAAUCCACAGACGGUGGGCGUGGGCCGGGCGCGCUUCACCACCUAUGAGGUUCGCAUGCGGACUAGAGGGCCAGAAUAUUCUCUAUGGACAGCAUGCUGCUCAAACAGCAUUUGAAGACCUAAAAGAGUACAAAUCUACCUAUCUUCAAGCUGAAGGAGUCCUGUGUACGGCGGCGCUACAGUGACUUUGAGUGGCUAAAAAAUGAGCUGGAGCGAGAUAGUAAGAUUGUAGUACCACCACUACCUGGGAAAGCCUUAAAGCGGCAGCUCCCUUUUCGAGGAGACGAAGGGAUCUUUGAGGAGUCCUUUAUUGAAGAAAGGAGGCAGGGCCUCGAACAGUUUAUUAACAAAAUUGCUGGGCACCCACUGGCUCAGAACGAACGCUGCCUACACAUGUUCCUGCAGGAGGAGGCAAUUGAUAGGAACUACGUCCCCGGGAAGGUGCGCCAGUAGGAGCCCCUCUCACCACUUGCCCUCUACUUUCCUGCUGAAAUGACAUUGGUUUUUACACUAAGCCUCUCUCUCUCUUUGAUCUGAAGUUGGCUGCCCGUCCCCUGGCCUGAUAAGACUGUCUGGCAUUGUGUUCCUUGGUACCUACCAUACCAUGGGCACUCUGCUAGGAUCCUCUUCUCUGAGGAGAGGUGGGAAACCACACAGGCAGAUGCCCUUUGCUUGGGGUUGGGGGGUGGGUGGGGGGAUUGGACUGGAAGGCAAUUUCUUGGGCAUUUACCCAUGCCAGAAGGCUGACCUUGUGGGGGGCGUGUCUUGUGCUGGUGAGGCACUUGGAUACAUACUGAUGCUGCAAGUCCAGGGGAUUUUUCUUACUCUUAGGUUUAACCAGGAACGCCGAGCAGGGAAACAUCCUGCCUUUCCUACCUGCAUGAACUUUUUCCUUUUGGGGAAGGUGGCAGAGACUCAAAAGCUCUCCUUGUUUUCUCCAGGCCUGAUCCUAGUUAUCGCAACAGUUUCCUUUGUUAUUUUCUCUCUCCCUGUUGCUUUUCAUGGUAGUAGUGGUAGAGUCAAAGCAGUCAUUUGUGUGGCGCAAUGUGUUUGGGUUUUCUGGGCCCAUCAUGGCUGCUUCAGAGUCAGAAGAAAGCCAUAGGGCAGUAGGGGAGCUCCUGUUGCCUAGCCCCUCUCCUUUGUGGCUCCCCACUCUGGCUGCCUGUUCUUGCUCACCAGUAGGCGAGUCAUUACCAUAGGCUGAGUCAGCAGUUCUCCCUCCCCAAGCCCUUGCUACUUUAUGGGUUAGCUUUGCAGGUUUGGUGGCUUUAGGGCUGGGGGAAACUCACCACUGCCAGGUAACUCCCUGAGGGGUUGGAGUGGAUCAUUUUCCAGGUACCUCCUGGUGGUAGGGAAGGGCAUCAUCACUCUCUUCCUUCCAUUCUCCCUUUCCCCCAUUCCAUUUAGUGCUGCCACAGGGCAGAAACACAUGAACAAACCACACAGUCUGAUUUCUCCUAAGCACUUUGAGCUGUUGAAUGGGGCUUAGGGGCAAGAGUUGUCACUGCCCUCCCCAGCUUGGUCACAGGGUUAUUGAACUGCCUGCACUUGUUUCCCACGGAACUCCAGCAUUCUUCCCAGAAGUUGAGCUAGGGUUUGCAAGCUGGGUAUAGAUUUCUAAAUCUUAGAGUCUGAAGCAAUUUAUCAGGGCUGACGACUUUCCUGGGCUUCUGUCUGGGAGGUAGUGGUUUGUUUGCUGGGGCCCAAUAUCUAUCCCAAAUGGUGGCACGGGAGUAGGUUAACUCUGGUGUCAGGUCAAAAGUGGGGGCUCUUUCCUUAGAAUCCCUAUCAUGGAAGGAUUGGAGUUCUUUAUAUAGGGUCUUGGGGGAAAAGGAUUACUGAUUCUGACAAGACCCUGAUCGGAGAGAUUAGGAUUGAAUUUUGACAUGGGAUUCAGAGGCCAUCUAAAUGUUGAAGUUCCCUGAGGCAGGUCAGCUUUCUAGCUGCUGGGCCUGUGCCAGGGGCUGAACAGCCCCUUGAGAAAGGCUCUGCUCCCUUUCCCACCUCCCCAAUGUUGGUGUUGUUGCUGCCUUUUUCAUUUGUAUCCUGUUACUUUUUUUUUUUUUUAAAGAUUCCUUCUUUCAUUGUGCACAAGUGCUGAGAGCCUGAGGCCCCAUUUCUGCUGUGUAUAUAUCCUGACUUGGGGCUUUUAUUCAGCAAAAUGUUCAUUCUUCUGUCAGACAAUGUCAUAUUCAACUCUGUUCAUAUUAAACCACUGUGAAGCAA